GAUGAACGCUGGCGGCGUGCCUAAUACAUGCAAGUCGAGCGAACGGACGAGAAGCUUGCGUCUCUGAUGUUAGCGGCGCACGGGUGAGUCACACGUGUAUAACCUACCUAUAAGACUGGGAUCACUUCGGGAAACCGGCGCUAAUACCGGAUAAUAUUUUGAACCGCAUGGGUCAAAAGUGAAAGACGGUCUUGCUGUCAGUUAUGGAUGGAUCCGCGCUGCAUUAGCGAGUUGGUAAGGUAACGGCUUACCAAGGCAACGAUGCAUAGCCGACCUGAGAGGUUGACCGGCCACAUUGGGACUGCGAUAGGGCCCAGACUCCUACGGGAGGCAGCAGGUGGGAAUAUUGCACAAUGGGCGGAAGCCUGAUGCAGCAACGCCGCGGGCGGGAUGACGGCCUUCGGGUUGUAAACCGCUUUCGCCUGUGACGAAGCGUGAGUGACGGUAAUGGGUAAAGAAGCACCGGCUAACUACGUG
rnacentral:rRNA from 1 species